AGCAGCCGCCACGGGAAUACGAAGGGGGCUAGCGUUGCUCGGAAUUACUGGGCGUAAAGGGAGCGUAGGCGGGUCGUUUAGUCAGAGGUGAAAUCCCGGGGCUCAACCUCGGAACUGCCUUUGAUACUGGCGACCUUGAGUAUGGGAGAGGUGAGUGGAACUCCGAGUGUAGAGGUGAAAUUCGUAGAUAUUCGGAAGAACACCAGUGGCGAAAGCGACUCACUGGCCCAUUACUGACGCUGAGGCUCGAAAGCGUGGGGAGCAAACAGGAUUAGAUACCCCAGUAGUCCCUGUCUCUUAUAC
rnacentral:rRNA from 1 species